AUUGAACGCUGGCGGCAUGCCUUACACAUGCAAGUCGAACGGCAGCGGGGGAGAAGCUUGCUUUUCCUGCCGGCGAGUGGCGAACGGGUGAGUAAUACAUCGGAACGUGCCCUGUAGUGGGGGAUAACUAGGCGAAAGAUUAGCUAAUACCGCAUACGACCUGAGGGUGAAAGUGGGGGACCGCAAGGCCUCAUGCUAUAGGAGCGGCCGAUGUCUGAUUAGCUAGUUGGUGGGGUAAAGGCCUACCAAGGCGACGAUCAGUAGCUGGACUGAGAGGACGAUCAGCCACACUGGGACUGAGACACGGCCCAGACUCCUACGGGAGGCAGCAGUGGGGAAUUUUGGACAAUGGGCGAAAGCCUGAUCCAGCAAUGCCGCGUGUGUGAAGAAGGCCUUCGGGUUGUAAAGCACUUUUGUCCGGAAAGAAAUGGCUCUGGUUAAUACCUGGGGUCGAUGACGGUACCGGAAGAAUAAGGACCGGCUAACUACGUGCCAGCAGCCGCCGCCGUAA
rnacentral:rRNA from 1 species